rnacentral:misc_RNA from 1 species
AAAAGUUAUUGGUAGCAUGAGAUAUAGUUUCAAAAUCAAACAACGGUAAAUCUAGCUCUUCAUCUUUGCUUUCGUUAGUGGAGAACGUUUCAGAGCUUUUUGUUCCUCUUCCUUUGCUAAAAUGUUGCUGAUUCUGAUCCUUCUUCUUGCGCCAUACGUACAAGAUUAAGCAUAGAGCUAAGAGCAGACCUAAUGCUGCCACGGGCAAGCUGAUACUCAAUAUCUUUACUUUUUCUGUACUGGAGUUACCUUACAUGAAAAGGUGAAGAAACAGAUUUGCACCUAACUCGGAAGCGUCCAACUUUACAUAGAUAUCUUGCCCACUAGCACCAAACUCUCUGAUGUCCAUCAGCUCAUUAAACCAAAGCAAGCAGCCUUCAUUUGUCCCUGUUAUGUCUGGAUUUGCAUAAGCCAUACAUGAGCAGUUUCUCAAGCACAAUUCCUCGCAUGCAUUUAGAGUCACUCCUCGACGGUACCAAGCAAAACGAGUGUCUGGAAUCUUGAUGCCUGGAUAUUUCAAGAAUUUUACUUCCUUUUGGCAAUUCAAUGAUGUCUUUCUAGCACAACCUUUUGACCAAUUUCCCCUUUCCCAUUCUCUUGGAUCCUUCGGUUCAAAUUUAUCCGGACAUCUGCAGAUUGGAGAGUUGCCACUGUUGCACAAACCAUAUGCCUGACACUGGCCAUAAAUGUCACAGUUAUCAGCUGGUACACUAACAUACUCAUCCCAAUUCUGAGUUUGAUUAUUCCAUAUUGAGAGUUGUAGAACCCCACUUACUUGCAUCACUACUCUUGCAAGGAUAGACCUGUCCGUUAACUGAUACAUAAAGGAAACUUUCUCUGGAUCAGAUACAUAUGUAUAAUUAUAAUCAGGACUUGGUAGCUGAGAUGGCGAAUUAGAAAAGCCUCGACCAUUCCACGGUCCAGACCUAUAGCGUUCAAUGGAACCGUUCAUGACAAAUGGUUGUGGGAAACCACGAAGAUCAAUUACCCAACUAAACUCACCCUCGGAGGGGUUAUUUCUGCUCUUCCACGACCUGAGGAAACCACGAAAACCAGUCUUCAGAUCAAUCCCAAGAAUCAUUCCAGGUAGAGAGGUGUCAGUGGGAUAGUCAAAACUCUGCCACAGAUAAUUCUCAGUUGAAUCAUUUCUAACAACAAGAUUGCCUGAAUCAAGAAGUUGUGCUAUUGGAUUUUCCAUAUGUCUAGUGGAAUUGGAUGACCAAAUGACUCUGCCAGAACCAUUCACAAGAGUAAGAAUCCCUUGUCUGGUUAAAUUUAGCGCGCUUGAUGUAUCAUUGAGUGGAGUUUCUCUAUUAGCAACCCAUACCACUGUCUGUACAGUAACUUUAUUGAAUAAUAUUCCUAAGUACCUUUUCCCUGAUGUCCCAGGUGAGAAAAAU